rnacentral:rRNA from 1 species
GAGUUUGAUCGUGGCUCAGGAUGAACGCUGGCGGCGUGCUUAACACAUGCAAGUCGAACGGGGUUAUGAAGUGUGAGGAGUCAGCUUGCUGGUGACGAACAGUUCAUAACUUAGUGGCGGACGGUGAGUAACGCGUGGGUAACCUGCCAUAUACAGGGGGAUAACACUUAGAAUAGGUGCUAAUACCGCAUAAGCGCACGGAGCUGCAUGACUCAGUGUGAAAAACUCCGGUGGUAUAUGAUGGACCCGCGUCUGAUUAGCUUGUUGGCGGGUAACGGCCCACCAAGGCGACGAUCAGUAGCCGGCCUGAGAGGGUGGACGGCCACAUUGGGACUGAGACACGGCCCAAACUCCUACGGGAGGCAGCAGUGGGAAUAUUGGACAAU